rnacentral:rRNA from 1 species
AUUGAACGCUGGCGGCAUGCCUUACACAUGCAAGUCGAACGGCAGCACGGGUGCUUGCACCUGGUGGCGAGUGGCGAACGGGUGAGUAAUACAUCGGAACAUGUCCUGUAGUGGGGGAUAGCCCGGCGAAAGCCGGAUUAAUACCGCAUACGAUCUACGGAUGAAAGCGGGGGACCUUCGGGCCUCGCGCAAUAGGGUUGGCCGAUGGCUGAUUAGCUAGUUGGUGGGGUAAAGGCCUACCAAGGCGACGAUCAGUAGCUGGUCUGAGAGGACGACCAGCCACACUGGGACUGAGACACGGCCCAGACUCCUACGGGAGGCAGCAGUGGGGAAUUUUGGACAAUGGGCGAAAGCCUGAUCCAGCAAUGCCGCGUGUGUGAAGAAGGCCUUCGGGUUGUAAAGCACUUUUGUCCGGAAAGAAAUCCUUGGCCCUAAUACGGUCGGGGGAUGACGGUACCGGAAGAAUAAGCACCGGCUAACUACGUG